ACUGCCCGGUCCUGCCUGCUGGGGAGUUUCCCUCCUUGCAUGAAAACGAGAAUGAAAUUUCUGUUGCUUUUCCUUUCCCUGUUCUCUGCCCCCACCAGUGUCCUCUCCCAGGUGCAGCUGGUCCAGUCCGGACCGGGAACGGCGAAGCCCGGAGAGACCCUCGCACUCACCUGUGCAGUCUCCGGGUUCUCCAUCACUACUCAGUAUUACGACUGGCACUGGAUCCGGCAGCCCCCGGGGAAAGGGCUGGAGUGGAUGGGGUACGUGUACCCGUAUAGUAGCGGGGAGACAGGCUACGCCCCGUCUCUCCAGGGCCGAAUCACCAUCGCCGCAGACACCGCCAAGAACCAGUUCUCCCUGCAGCUCCGCUCGCUGACAGCUGCAGACACCGGCACCUAUUACUGCGCCAGGAGAGACACAGUGACUCAGAGCAAAGCGGGACUGGCACAAAAAGGGGAAGCGGUUUCUAAAUAGCCUAAUGAGGCCGGAGUUACAGGGACAGUGGAGCCCUGCAGAGAAAGAGACACA